rnacentral:lncRNA from 1 species
UUUUAAUGACCAUAUUGGUCCGUAAGUUAUUCUUUUCUUUGGCAUUUCCGGCUUUACUGCCUGAAUAUGUCUCAUUUAGUUGUAAACCCAAAAGAAGCACCAUUAAAAGGGUGUUGGGUAGAGAUUGUAGCUGAGAACUGGGUCAAAGAGGACAUUUUGUACAUAACUGAUAACUCGUACUCGUCAGCCUAUAAACGAAACAUGUUGAUCGGUGGAGCUGAACCGGUUGUUAAAGUUGAGAAUUUAAAUAAGAUAAUUUAUAUUUCAAUAGUUGUGAUGGUAUUCACUUAAAUAUUUGUCCUAUUAGAUACCUAUGAAGAGGCUAGGCAAAAUCUCCCCCGUGCGAAAAAAGGUUUGCCAAUUCUGCCAAAUGAUCCCUCUCAAACUGGAAGAGGUUGUCGACAAAUUACUUUGAAAAGCAGAAAACUGCCUGGUGAAGCUACCACAGAACAAGAGAGUGAUGUCAGUCUGAACGUUGAAAGUUACUUUGCUACUACCUCCAAGUCAUUACUUAAGACCAACACAACAGCGAGUAAAGGAAAAGGAAUCGCUAAACGAUCAGCACCUGGACCAAGUAAAAUCAGUUUACUACCUAUUCCACCCUCUGGAGUCUGGACUUCAGAAUAAAAAGAAGAAGGAAAAGCCACACGAUACAAAUCAAGUAGAGACUGUACCAAAAGCAAUUAAUACACCACGACCACAACAGAUCCAGAAGUCAUCAUCUACUACCUGUUUAGUGCCAGCAGAUACGUCCAGCAAUCAACCAUCAGCACGUUCUAUUACCGACAAUGAUGGUAACGAAUCAUGUUUGGAUUUCAAUAACGAUUGCACGGAUAUUGAGCAGAAUAGUCAGGAGAUCAAUGACGAAAUGUUGUGUACUGGCUUUCCAAAUGAUACACAAGGAAUGUCAAAUGGGAACAUGGUACAAUCGUUUUCUAUGGACACCGAAUAUCUGACGGCACCAUGCAGAAAUAGGAGUAAGGAAAACCGAAAACCUCACAAUCAUUUCCUAAAAUUAGUAAAUUUUUCUGCACAGAUUAAUAUUUACUUUUAUUUUUUUAACAUCCAUU